UACGGAGGGGGCUAGCGUUGUUCGGAAUUACUGGGCGUAAAGCGCGCGUAGGCGGACCUGCAAGUCGGGGGUGAAAGCCCGAGGCUCAACCUCGGAACUGCCUUCGAUACUGCGGGUCUCGAGUCCGGGAGAGGUGAGUGGAAUUCCUAGUGUAGAGGUGAAAUUCGUAGAUAUUAGGAAGAACACCAGUGGCGAAGGCGGCUCACUGGCCCGGUACUGACGCUGAGGCGGCGAAAAGCGUGGGGAGCAACAGG
rnacentral:rRNA from 1 species